GCCUUCGUGGCCUAAUGAAUAAGGCGUCGGCCUCUUAAGCCGAAGAUUGCGGGUUCGAGUCCCGUCGGAGGUA
rnacentral:tRNA from 1 species